rnacentral:lncRNA from 1 species
UCAUAUCUCAAGAAAAGUAUCUUCUCAGGUCUCUUUAUGCUCUCUUUCCAAUAACUUAAAACAUGAUCAUGGAAUAGCCCAAAGGCAUGAACCCCUUGUAAAAGCUCUCGAAUGAUUCAUUCAUCGACCAUGGAUCUUUUCCCUUAGCAGCAAUCAAAGAGUUCAAAAAGUGCCACAAUGACACAAACGUGUCCUUAGGUUAUCGGGUAAUAUACACAAUCUUGCAAGCUGAGUUUUUAACAGAUUGGGGUAGCAUAGGAUAAGGGACAUGGGUUUGAAACAAUCUUGGAGAAGGCAUAUAUGAGAGAUCAGGAUUGGGAUUUUCCUUGAAAAUCUGAACUUCCAGAGAUAGCUUCAGCUUAUUAGGACUAUGUUUGAGCAAAGGGUCAUCGCUAUCAUCAUUUGUUCGACCAAUGGGAUUCUUUAUUGUUAGGAUGAUAGCUUUGAGCCAUGUGGUGCAUGACUUCAUAGAAGAAGUCAAAAUUACAUCAGAGUCGUCUGCUUAGAAGUUUGACCUGGCAGCCAUUGCAGCAAUAAGGUGAGAACUGGUAUACCAGAAGCUUUCCCAGUUGGAAAGAUCAGUACGACACCAUUUUUCUUUCGGGAGCUUAUUUAGCAAACUAGAAAAUGAAAAUGGAAAGCUAGAGUACUCCAUGUUAUAGUAUCUAAUACACGUGAUUAAUGUGUAAUUAGCUAAGUGGUUAGGUCGUUACAAAAGCUGGUAUUUUGUUACUAGCAGUUUAGGAUUCCUUUUCUUCUCUAUAUAAGUAUGUAUUUUGAACAGAUUAAAAUGAGUUAGAAUCGUUACCUUGAGAGUAUUACUUUAUCUCUUUUAUAACUUAAAUCAUUGUUCAUCUAGUAUUCUAUCAUAGUAUCAGUCGCUCGGUGAUUUUCGGGCAUGGUUACCACGCACUCUGCUGAUUCCGAUUUUGUUGAGCCUCAUGGCUCGGUAUUUCUUGGUGAUCGUCUGGUCACCUCAUUUCCUCGACAUGAGGUUGUUAAACUGGAUGAAGGUUCGUUCGUGCAUUGGCAGCAGCAGGUCUGGCUUAUUCUCCGUGGCUACCAUCUGUUUGGAUUUCUUGAUGGCUCAUUGACGGUUUCGGCGCGUUUUAUUCAAUCCUCCGAUGGAGGUCUUGUUGUUAAUCCAGCUAUUUCGAUCUUUGAUCAGCAAGAUAGUUUACUUACCUCUUGGCUGUUAUCUACGAUCAGCUCUUCAUUCUUGUCCUCUUUCACGGAUGUUCGCACUGCUCAUGACGUCUGGAUCGUGGUGAACAACUUGUUUGUGGCCGAUUCGAGCACGAAACAGUCUCAGUUGCGUCAUGAGCUUCACUCCAUUCGAAAAGGUAGCCUCUUUAUUCGAGCCUAUGUAAAUAAAAUUACCAGUCUGUGUGCUCUGCUUGCAGCUUCUGAAACUCAAAUCUCAGAGGCCGAACGAAUGGUGGUUCUUCUUGCUGGUCUCUCUUCGAAUUUUAAUGCUAUUGUUUCGUCCGCGUCUCUCUUCUCAAGACCAUUACUGUUUCAACGCAUCGUUGAUGUUUUGCUUGAGUACGAAGCUCGACACGGUCGGACUGCACAAGAAGUGUUGAUCGCUGCCAAUAUGGUGGAGGGGCCGCAACUUCAGUCGACGGAUGGCCCAUUUUGUGGAGGAGGGCGUUCCUCUGGUCGUGGUCGCAGUCAUUCUUUCCAUCCACGGAUCCAGUGUCAGAUUUGCAGCCGAUAUGGUCAUCUUGCGCAGAGGUGCUACUACAGGUACGAUCGUGACGAUCAAUCGCCGACUGAUGCUCUGUUGGUUCGACAAGGUGGUUUUGCGUCUGGCUUGUUUGGGAGAGAUGAUGACCGAAUAAGAGAGAAUGGCUUUGGUCAAAAUUUAGGGAAUUAUGGUCAAAAUUGGAGGCCCUCUGUUUGGCAAAAUUAUGGAAUGACAAAUAGUGUCCCACGUGGGCCACAUGCAGGGACUAGGAAUAAUGGAUCCAAUCCAUUUGUUAAACAUGAAAAUGGGCAGCAUAUUCAUGAUGACCCAAAUCCAUAUGAUAAUGGGCGCGACUUUAGUGAUAUGGGCUAUAAAUUUUGUAAUGACUCCUUGAGCAAUGCGUAUGGUAAGAUGGUUACUACGUCACGUAGGCCUAGUGGGUCGAUUCGAUCCCGUACACUUGAUGGUCAAUUUGUGCCUGAGCCCUCUACUAAUUGUGUUGAUGUUGAUAGAUCUUGGCAGACUGUUCAUGAGGCUCUGUGGCGAACAAAACCACGUGCUCGUGUGUUUAGUGUUGCCACGUCUCCUUAUGACUCGUCCCAGUUUGUUGGGCUUCCCCUCCGACUUCCUAAGUUGCACGCAUCGAAUUAUUUUGAUGCUUCCGCAUAUGACUCAAAUUUUAAUUCUACUGACUCCUAUGUUCCGUUACCGGUAGGAAGCACGUCCUGGUGUCCAGACUCGGGGGUUACUCAUCAUGUCUACAAGAAUGCUUCAGAUUUACAUGGCUCCACUCCUUAUACAGGUACUUCUUCUCUCUUAAUGGGUAAUGGGGUCUCUACCACAAUAUCAUCCACUAGGAGUAUAGAAUUUCCUAGAAAGAUGAAAUUGCUCCAUCUCUCGAAUGUGCUAUGUGUGCCGAGUAUUCAAAAAAAAAUAUUAUCUGUGUCUAAGUUUGCUUCUGACAACAAUGUGUUUUUUGAGUUUCACCCUUCGUAUUAUGUGAUUAAGGACAUCCAGACACAGGGAAUCUUAAUAGGGGGCCAAGUUAUUAAUGGGCUCUAUCAGUUCUCAGCAGGUUCGAGUGUUUUGUCUCUAUCUGUUAAUAAUACGGUUGUUCAAUGUUCUUCUAUAGCUGAUGAUGUUUUUGGUUUGUGGCAUAAAAGGCUGGGACAUCCUGCUUCUAAUACUGUAGAAGCUGUUCUAGACAAAUGUCGUAUUACUGUAAAUAAAAGUCAUCUUGAUAAUAUUUGUGUUGUCUGUCAAAAAGGAAAAUCUCAUAAGUUGCGUUUUUCUCGUUCUAAUAGUGAGUAUGUUGAUUUGUUUGAAUUGGUUGUUUCUGAUUUGUGGGGCCCAGAUACUGUUCCUUGUAAAGGAAAUUUGUAUUAUGUUUCUUUCAUUGACAUGAGUAGUCGAUUUACCUAGGUAUAUCUAAUAAGUCGCAAAUCUCAAGCAGUGGAGUGUUUUGGUUAAUUUUAAAAAAUGGUUCUCACUCAGUUCGGGAAGUGUAUUAAGAAAUUUCAAAGUGAUUGGGGUGGUGAGUUUUGGGCUUUCUCGUCUGUUCUUGCUAGUCAGGGGAUACUUCAUCGAGUUUCCUGCCCUCACACUUCUGAACAAAAUAGUGUAGCUGAACGUAAGCACAGAUAUAUUGUGGAGACUGGUCUUACUCUUUUGGCUCAGGCUAAUUUACCAAUAAAGUACUAGGGCUAUGCUUUUUGUAGUGCCGUUUAUCUUAUUAAUUGGUUGCCCACUCCUGUCUUGAAUGGACGGUCUCGUAUCAAAGUUUGUUUGGUCGUGAACCAACUUAUGAUCAUUUUAGAGUGUUUGGUUGAUGUUGUUUUCCAUAUUUACGUUUGUUUGUUAAACACAAGCUUGAAUUUCGGUCCCAACCAUUUACGUUUCUAGGGUAUAGUGCGCAUCUUAAAGGUUAUUUUUGUCUAACACCUGAUGGUAAGGUUCUUGUUUCUAGGCAUGUUGUGUUUGAUGAAAAUCGGUGCCAGUGAUCAGACGUCUUUAAGUAAUACUAUGUAUGUUCCUGUAGUUCACUCGUUUUCCACUAAGGACACUAGUUUGCCUUCUGCUCCUACAACUGGGGUUUCUCUAGGAAGUCCUAAUAGUGAGCCUGAUCUGCGUGGUUCUUUUGCUACAUGUGGUGCUUCUCGUCAUAGGUCUGUCAAUUUGUUAGAUGAAUCAGGCACUAUUGUCCGAGAGGAGGUUGUCUCUACUUCAGUAAUUCCUGCUGAGCCUGUUCCUAUUCCUCUUGGUUCUACUACUAAUACUCAUGGCAUGGUUAUUCGAUCUAAGGCUGGUAUCUUUAAACCCAAAGCUUUGUGUGCAGACAAUGUUGCGGUUGAGCCAAGUUCUGUUGAAGAGGCUCUUGCUCAUCCAGACUGGCGAUUAGUUGUUCAAGCUGAAUAUGAUGCAUUAAUAGCUAACUCUACAUGGGAGCUCUGUUCCUCCUGGUCGAAAGGCGAUUGGUUGCAAGUGGUUGUUUAAAAUAAAGAAGAAUCUUGAUGGAACAAUAAAUCACCGAAAGGCACAAUUAGUAGCCAAGGGCUGUUCACAGGUGCCUGGCUGUGAUUUUAAAGAGACAUUCAGUCCAAUAGUCAAAGCUGCUACUAUUCGAGUCAUUCUUUCUGUUGCCGUGACCAAGGGUUGGCCACUUCGGCAAGUUGAUGUAAAUAACGCCUCUCUGAAUGGUGAUCUAACUGAUGACGUGUUUAUGCAGCAGCCUCUAGGUUUUGUGCAACAUGGUUCAAGUGGUGAAAAGCUGGUGUGUCAUCUGAUUAAAGCUUUAUAUGGAUUACGGCAAGCUCCUCGUGCUUGGUUUGACAAAUUAAAACAGUUUCUUGUUUCUAUUGGUUUUGCGGUGUCAAAAUCGGAUGCCUCAUUGUUUGCUCGGUCUUCCUCUGAUUUCACUCUAUAUGUGCUUGUCUAUGUGGAUGAUAUUGUUAUUACUGGCAGUUCAUCUGAUGAAAUAAAUUGUUUUGUCCAAUAGCUACACAGCAAGUUCACUUUAAAGGAUAUGGGUGAGCUUUAUUAUUUUUUGGGGAGCUUCUUGCACGAUGUUCUGUGUCUACUGUCAAAAGUGUUCAUACACCAAUGGUCAGCUCUUCCAUGUUAUCAAAGGAUAAGGGUGAGUGUCUUGCUGAUCCCACUGGAUAUCGUAGCCUUGCCGGUGCUCUUCAGUAUAUUGUGUUAACCCGGCCUAAUAUUGCCUAUGCGGUUAAUAGGGUGUGUCAGUUUAUGCAUGCUCCCACUAAUAUACACAUGGUAGCGUUAAAAAGCAUUCUUCGGUAUUUACGUGGUACUCUUUCCUAUGGAUUACUUUUUCGGCAAUCUGAACGACUUUCAUUGGUCGGUUAUGCCGAUGGAAAUUGGAGGCUUGAUUUUGAUGAUCGUCGGUCUACUACGGGAUACUGUGUGUACUUUGGUCAUAUACUAUAUUUUGGUGUUCCAAGAAACAACAAGUUGUUUCUCGCUCUACGGCGGAGGCUGAAUACCGUAGCUUAGCAGCUGCCACUAGUGAUGUUGCUUGGCUGGUGUCUCUCUUGACAGAGUUAAAACUAGGUUCAGUUGAUCCUCCGACAGUGUGGUGUGAUAAUUCUAGUGUAGUCGUUGUUGCAGCUAAUCCAAUUAUACACUCCAAGUUUAAACAUGUUGAACUUGAUUCGUUUUUUGUCCGGGAAAAGGUGGCUAGUGGCGAGUUGAUUGUUGGCGAAGUUCUUGCCUGUGACCAAGUGGCCGAUAUUCUCACUAAACCAUUGGCUGUGUUAAUCUUUACUCAGUUUCGUCAUUUUCUUCGGGUCGUCCCACUUGAGGAAGUUGGAUGAAUGUUAUAGUAUCUAAUACACAUGUGAUUAAUGUGUAAUUAGCUAAGUGGUUAGGUAGUUACAAAAGCUGGUAUUUUGUUACUAGUAGUUUAGGCUUCCUUCUCUUCUCUAUAUAAGCAUGUAUUUUGAACAAAUUAAAAUGAGUUAGAAUCGUUACCUUGAGAG